rnacentral:rRNA from 1 species
CAUAGGAAUCUGCCUAGUAGUGGGGGACAACCUGGUGAAAACCAGGCUAAUACCGCAUACGACCUACGGGUGAAAGCAGGGGAUCUUCGGACCUUGCGCUAUUAGAUGAGCCUAUGUCUGAUUAGCUAGUUGGUAAGGUAAUGGCUUACCAAGGCGACGAUCAGUAGCUGGUCUGAGAGGAUGAUCAGCCACACUGGGACUGAGACACGGCCCAG